rnacentral:rRNA from 1 species
CGACCGGCGCACGGGUGCGUAACGCGUAUGCAACCUACCUGUAACAGGGGGAUAACACUGAGAAAUCGGUACUAAUACCGCAUAACACUAUGAGAGGCAUCUCUUGUGGUUGAAAGUUUCGGCGGUUACAGAUGGGCAUGCGUUGUAUUAGCUGGUUGGUGAGGUAACGGCUCACCAAGGCGACGAUACAUAGGGGGACUGAGAGGUCAACCCCCCACAUUGGUACUGAGACACGGACCAAACUCCUACGGAAGGCAGCAG